rnacentral:tRNA from 1 species
CUGGGUGUAGCUCAGGAGUGAGAGCGCGCGGUCGGGGACCGCGAGGACGCUGGUGCGAUUCCAGUCACUCAGA